UACGUAGGGUGCGAGCGUUAAUCGGAAUUACUGGGCGUAAAGCGUGCGCAGGCGGUUCGCUGUGUCUGCUGGGAAAGCCCCGGGCUCAACCUGGGAAUGGCAGUGGAAACUGGCGAGCUGGAGUGUGGCAGAGGGGGGUGGAAUUCCACGUGUAGCAGUGAAAUGCGUAGAGAUGUGGAGGAACACCGAUGGCGAAGGCAGCCCCCUGGGCUGACACUGACGCUCAGGCACGAAAGCGUGGGGAGCAAACAGG
rnacentral:rRNA from 1 species